rnacentral:rRNA from 1 species
ACAUGCAAGUCGAGCGGACCGACGGGAGCUUGCUCCCUUAGGUUAGCGGCGGACGGGUGAGUAACACGUGGGUAACCUGCCUGUAAGACUGGGAUAACUCCGGGAAACCGGGGCUAAUACCGGAUGCUUGAUUGAACCGCAUGGUUCAAUUAUAAAAGGUGGCUUUUAGCUACCACUUACAGAUGGACCCGCGGCGCAUUAGCUAGUUGGUGAGGUAACGGCUCACCAAGGCAACGAUGCGUAGCCGACCUGAGAGGGUGAUCGGCCACACUGGGACUGAGACACGGCCCAGACUCCUACGGGAGGCAGCAGUAGGGAAUCUUCCGCAAUGGACGAAAGUCUGACGGAGCAACGCCGCGUGAGUGAUGAAGGUUUUCGGAUCGUAAAACUCUGUUGUUAGGGAAGAACAAGUACCGUUCGAAUAGGGCGGUACCUUGACGGUACCUAACCAGAAAGCCACGGCUAACUACGUGCCAGCAGCCGCGGUAAUACGUAGGUGGCAAGCGUUGUCCGGAAUUAUUGGGCGUAAAGCGCGCGCAGGCGGUUUCUUAAGUCUGAUGUGAAAGCCCCCGGCUCAACCGGGGAGGGUCAUUGGAAACUGGGGAACUUGAGUGCAGAAGAGGAGAGUGGAAUUCCACGUGUAGCGGUGAAAUGCGUAGAGAUGUGGAGGAACACCAGUGGCGAAGGCGACUCUCUGGUCUGUAACUGACGCUGAGGCGCGAAAGCGUGGGGAGCGAACAGGAUUAGAUACCCUGGUAGUCCACGCCGUAAACGAUGAGUGCUAAGUGUUAGAGGGUUUCCGCCCUUUAGUGCUGCAGCAAACGCAUUAAGCACUCCGCCUGGGGAGUACGGUCGCAAGACUGAAACUCAAAGGAAUUGACGGGGGCCCGCACAAGCGGUGGAGCAUGUGGUUUAAUUCGAAGCAACGCGAAGAACCUUACCAGGUCUUGACAUCCUCUGACAACCCUAGAGAUAGGGCUUCCCCUUCGGGGGCAGAGUGACAGGUGGUGCAUGGUUGUCGUCAGCUCGUGUCGUGAGAUGUUGGGUUAAGUCCCGCAACGAGCGCAACCCUUGAUCUUAGUUGCCAGCAUUCAGUUGGGCACUCUAAGGUGACUGCCGGUGACAAACCGGAGGAAGGUGGGGAUGACGUCAAAUCAUCAUGCCCCUUAUGACCUGGGCUACACACGUGCUACAAUGGGCAGAACAAAGGGCACCGAAGCCGC